rnacentral:rRNA from 1 species
GGCCUUUCGGGGUACACGAGCGGCGAACGGGUGAGUAACACGUGGGUGAUCUGCCCUGCACUUCGGGAUAAGCCUGGGAAACUGGGUCUAAUACCGGAUAUGACCUCCUAUCGCAUGGUGGGUGGUGGAAAGAUUUAUCGGUGCAGGAUGGGCCCGCGGCCUAUCAGCUUGUUGGUGGGGUAAUGGCCUACCAAGGCGACGACGGGUAGCCGACCUGAGAGGGUGACCGGCCACACUGGGACUGAGACACGGCCCAGACUCCUACGGGAGGCAGCAGUGGGGAAUAUUGCACAAUGGGCGAAAGCCUGAUGCAGCGACGCCGCGUGAGGGAUGACGGCCUUCGGGUUGUAAACCUCUUUCAGCAGGGACGAAGCGCAAGUGACGGUACCUGCAGAAGAAGCACCGGCUAACUACGUGCCAGCAGCCGCGGUAAUACGUAGGGUGCAAGCGUUGUCCGGAAUUACUGGGCGUAAAGAGUUCGUAGGCGGUUUGUCGCGUCGUUUGUGAAAACCAGCAGCUCAACUGCUGGCUUGCAGGCGAUACGGGCAGACUUGAGUACUGCAGGGGAGACUGGAAUUCCUGGUGUAGCGGUGAAAUGCGCAGAUAUCAGG